GACGAACGCUGGCGGCGUGCUUAACACAUGCAAGUCGAGCGAAGUGGCGAACGGGUGAGUAACGCGUAAUCAACCUGCCCUUCAGAGGGGGACACCAGUUGGAAACGACUGCUAAUACCGCAUACUGAUGGAGUGGUUUGCGUCUGAUUAGCUAGUUGGAGGGGUAACGGCCCACCAAGGCGAUGAUCAGUAGCCGGGCUGGGAGGAUGAACGGCCAAAUUGGGACUGGGACACGGGCCAGAAGCCUAAGGGAGGCAGCAGUGGGGAAACUUCCGCAAUGGACGAAAGGCUGAAGGAGCAACGGCGCGUGGGUGAUGACGGCCUGCGGGUUGGAAAGCUAUGUUAAUCGGGACGCGGUACCGGAAGAGAAAGCAACGGCUAACUACGUGCCAGCAGCCGCGGUAAUAC
rnacentral:rRNA from 1 species